UACGAAGGGGGCUAGCGUUGCUCGGAAUCACUGGGCGUAAAGGGUGCGUAGGUGGAUAUUUAAGUCAGGGGUGAAAUCCUGGAGCUCAACUCCAGAACUGCCUUGAUAACUGAGUAUCUUGAGUUCGGGAGAGGUAAGUGGAACUGCGAGUGUAGAGGUGAAAUUCGUAGAUAUUCGCAAGAACACCAGUGGCGAAGGCGGCUUACUGGCCCGAUACUGACAUUGAGGCAGCGAAAGCGUGGGGAGCAAACAGGAU
rnacentral:rRNA from 1 species